rnacentral:rRNA from 1 species
GCGAUAGCGAAGAGGUCACACCCGUUCCCAUACCGAACACGGAAGUUAAGCUCUUCAGCGCCGAUGGUAGUUGGGGGUUUCCCCCUGUGAGAGUAGGACGCCGCCAAGC